rnacentral:rRNA from 1 species
GAUGAACGCUCGCGGCAGGCCUAAUACAUGCAAGUCGGACGGGAUCCAUUGAUAGCUUGCUAUCAAUGGUGAGAGUGGCGCACGGGUGCGUAACGCGUGAGCAACCUGCCUCCAUCAGGGGGAUAGCCUCUCGAAAGAGAGAUUAACACCGCAUAAUAUCAACAGUUCGCAUGUUCAGUUGAUUAAAUAUUUAUAGGAUGGAGAUGGGCUCGCGUGACAUUAGCUAGUUGGUAGGGUAACGGCUUACCAAGGCGACGAUGUCUAGGGGCUCUGAGAGGAGAAUCCCCCACACUGGUACUGAGACACGGACCAGACUCCUACGGGAGGCAGCAGUAAGGAAUAGUGGUCAAUGGGCGGAAGCCUGAACCAGCCAUGCCGCGUGCAGGAUGACUGCCCUAUGGGUUGUAAACUGCUUUUGUCCAGGAAUAAACCUAAAUACGAGUAUUUAGCUGAAUGUACUGGAAGAAUAAGGAUCGGCUAACUCCGUG